UUUUUCCUUAUCUGUUUUUAAUUUUAGAAAAAAAGUUUUAACAUGGAGAUUAUGGCUUCCACUGAACUGGGAUUUAGUAUUUCGAAACAUAUAAAAAGGAUUUCUAAAAUCAAAAGAUCUAUACUUUUUUCUCUUUCCAUCUGGAGUCAACUGAAUAUUCAACUUUUCCAUUGAACAAACAAACAAACAAUUGUGCUCCUGACUUUUUCCAGGCAUUAAACAAUAUAAUAACAAAAAUGAAAUGCAAAUAAAUGUACUUUUAAAACUUUAAUCCUACAGCAAAAGAUUCUACUGGCUAAUAAUGCUACCUGCCUGAAACUUUAUAUUCUGAUAUUUUUCCUUAAUAAAAAAGUAUUUUUUAAA
rnacentral:lncRNA from 1 species